UGCCGCGUGUAUGAAGAAGGCCUUCGGGUUGUAAAGUACUUUCAGCAGUGGGGAAGGGUGUGUAGUUAAUAGCUGCAUACUUUGACGUUAGCUGCAGAAGAAGCACCGGCUAACUCCGUGCCAGCAGCCGCGGUAAUACGGAGGGUGCGAGCGUUAAUCGGAAUUACUGGGCGUAAAGCGCAUGCAGGUGGUUUGUUAAGUCAGAUGUGAAAGCCCGGGGCUCAACCUCGGAACCGCAUUUGAAACUGGCAGGCUAGAGUACUGUAGAGGGGGGUAGAAUUUCAGGUGUAGCGGUGAAAUGCGUAGAGAUCUGAAGGAAUACCAGUGGCGAAGGCGGCCCCCUGGACAGAUACUGUUACUCAGAUGCGAAAGCGUGGGGAGCAAACAGGAUUAGAUACCCUGGUAGUCCACGCCGUAAACGAUGUCUACUUGGAGGUUGUGGCCUUGAGCCGUGGCUUUCGGAGCUAACGCGUUAAGUAGACCGCCUGGGGAGUACGGUCGCAAGAUUAAAACUCAAAUGAAUUGACGGGGGCCCGCACAAGCGGUGGAGCACGUGGUUUAAUUCGAUGCAACGCGAAGAACCUUACCUACUCUUGACAUCCAGAGAACUUUCCAGAGAUGGAUUGGUGCCUUCGGGAACUCUGAGACAGGUGCUGCAUGGCUGUCGNCAGCUCGUGUUGUGAAAUGUUGGGUUNAGUCCCGCAACGAGCGCAACCCUUAUCCUUGUUUGNC
rnacentral:rRNA from 1 species